GUGCUCGCUACAGAGAACAUAUACUAAAACUGGAACGAUCUAGGAGAUUAGCAAUGGCUCCUGUGCAAGGAUGACAUGCAAAUUCGUGAAGCAUUCCAUAUUCGU
ensembl:snRNA U6 U6 spliceosomal RNA